rnacentral:rRNA from 1 species
GAUUGGUGCUUGCAUCAUGAUUUACAUUUGAGUGAGUGGCGAACUGGUGAGUAACACGUGGGAAACCUGCCCAGAAGCGGGGGAUAACACCUGGAAACAGAUGCUAAUACCGCAUAACAACUUGGACCGCAUGGUCCGAGUUUGAAAGAUGGCUUCGGCUAUCACUUUUGGAUGGUCCCGCGGCGUAUUAGCUAGAUGGUGGGGUAACGGCUCACCAUGGCAAUGAUACGUAGCCGACCUGAGAGGGUAAUCGGCCACAUUGGGACUGAGACACGGCCCAAACUCCUACGGGAGGCAGCAGUAGGGAAUCUUCCACAAUGGACGAAAGUCUGAUGGAGCAACGCCGCGUGAGUGAAGAAGGGUUUCGGCUCGUAAAACUCUGUUGUUAAAGAAGAACAUAUCUGAGAGUAACUGUUCAGGUAUUGACGGUAUUUAACCAGAAAGCCACGGCUAACUACGUGCCAGCAGCCGCGGUAAUACGUAGGUGGCAAGCGUUGUCCGGAUUUAUUGGGCGUAAAGCGAGCGCAGGCGGUUUUUUAAGUCUGAUGUGAAAGCCUUCGGCUCAACCGAAGAAGUGCAUCGGAAACUGGGAAACUUGAGUGCAGAAGAGGACAGUGGAACUCCAUGUGUAGCGGUGAAAAUGCGUAGAU